GCACUUUGUCACUGCCUUCGUCGCAUUGCGGGUGUCAGGGGUAAUUUAUUAGAUGGAUUUAUUGGUAUUGUGACCGUUGAAAGGUGGUGCUCUAUCAGUCGCCUUAGUGGUGAACCAGUGGCAUUGACACAGGAGUUCAUCACUUCACCUACCACCAGGAGGGAUCCCUCCUUCAGAUCCAAGUCUGCUGUGAGCAUCAGCUUCUAUCCAGACAGCACCCAUGAGGCGGACCGGUGACCCUCGUGUUCAGCCACCACGGGUAGCUGCAGUUUCCGUUCGGGUGACGUCACGAUGCCUCUGCUGAGUCCUCGCAAUAACGGCCGGAUGGCUCAGAGUGCGGCCGGCUCGCGAAACUCGCAGCUCUACACCGUCGAGGUGGGAGACACGCGCUUCCAGAUCCUCAAACGUUACCAGAACCUCAAACCGAUCGGCUCCGGCGCCCAGGGCAUCGUCUGGUGAGUGGCAUUCUACUACCUAGUCAGGGCAUGGUCUGGUGAGUAGGGUACUGUAGGGAAUUAUACUACCUACCUGUCAGGGCAUGGUCUGGUGAGUAGGGCAUUGUAGGAAAUCACACCACAUUUCUGUCCGGACAUGGUCUGGUGAGUAGGGGAAUAUACUACUUGUCGCCAUUGUCUGAUGAGUAGGGUACUGUAGGGAAUUAUACUACCUACCUGUCAGGGCAUGGUCUGGUGAGUAGGGGACUCUUACUGACUGUCUCCAUUUUACUACGCCUGUGAGAGGUACUGCUGUGUGGUGUGCAGGGUAAACUACCUCUGUUUUAUAGCUGAACACUCUGCCCCCCCCCCCCCCAAGGAACGUUUCGAUUAAUCAAAAAGCUCACCUGUCAAAUAAAGAUCGAUGUAAGGGAGUAUGUGAGUGGAUGUAGAUGUGCCCCGUGGUAGCAAAAAAAAAAAAAA